UUACUUCUCCUGCAUGGACAGAGCAUCCCAGGUGGCCCUGAUGGUAAAGAACCCACCUAUCAAUGCAGGAGACAUAAAAGACUCAGCUUUGAUCCCUGAGUUGAUACAAGUUCCACAAGCCUUGACUGAGCACUCACUCCACACGCCUUGUGUGCUGGCAGGCUCACCUCUGCUGUGUGUCUACAGUUCUCAGAACACGGCAGCUCUCUGGAUGAAGAUCUCACCCUGGGGAGUGGAAGAGGUGAUUUCACCUCCAUCCGUGGGUCCUUGUCCCUCUGGUUUCCACCCCACAGCUCCUUUCUCACGACUCCCUUUCAAGUCCAGCACUGACACUCUGCCUCUCAGUUCACACUACGCUUCGAUUUUUCCUCUGUUCCCU
ensembl:lncRNA